rnacentral:snoRNA from 1 species
AAUUCGUGAUGCGGACAUUUCUGAAUUAAAUUCUUAAAACGCUACCAAGUUUUGUGAAAACCCCCUCUAACUGUUUGAAUAUAGAAAUCUCUCUUCUUUGUU